rnacentral:rRNA from 1 species
UACGAAGGGGACUAGCGUUGUUCGGAAUCACUGGGCGUAAAGCGCACGUAGGCGGAUUCGUAAGUCAGGGGUGAAAUCCCGGGGCUCAACCUCGGAACUGCCUUUGAUACUGCGGGUCUUGAGUCCGAUAGAGGUGGGUGGAAUUCCUAGUGUAGAGGUGAAAUUCGUAGAUAUUAGGAAGAACACCGGUGGCGAAGGCGGCCCACUGGAUCGGUACUGACGCAGAGGUGCGAAAGCGUGGGGAGCAAACAGG